rnacentral:rRNA from 1 species
AGAGGCCCUAGUUGAUAACUACCGGCGUAAAGAGUGGUUAUGGAAAAUAUUUAAUAAAGCCGAACACCCCCUCAGCCGUCAUACGCACCUGGGAGCACGAAGACCUACCGCGAAAGCAGCUUUAAUUAUGCCUGACCCCACGACAGCUAAGAAACAAACUGGGAUUAGAUACCCCACUAUGCCUAGCCGUAAACCUUGAUAGAAAUAUACAAUUGAUAUCCGCCAGGGAACUACAAGCGCCA